GGCCUCCCAGGGUCACACCUGGAGAGUUUCCGCUACUCUACCAGUCUCGGCUGUGGGAGGGAGAGGCAAACAGAGGCCUUCCCAUUCCAUCCCUAGCUUGGCCAGUGGCUAGCGAGUGGAAGGCAAUCUGCUACAAGU
rnacentral:snoRNA from 1 species